GACCAGGUGAUCAGGGGUGAGCUCAAGAUUGUAUUCAGAUUUCAGACAAUGGAAAGAGGGAUACUAUGGAGGAGGCAACCCUCUCUUGAAGUCCCCAGUCCUGAAAAGAUUAUAUGAAGUUUGGAGGAGACCAGUGUCUGCUGAAAGAUAGGUGCUCAACAGAUAUAUGUUGAAUGAAUGAAAGAUUUGAGAGUGUGCUGACUUUUCCUGAAAAGGAUCUUCUAUAUACCAUGCUAUUCCAGGAAUACAAAGAUAAUAGGUGAGGGUGACAUUGUGUGACUUGUGAUAACAUUUAGAUGAUUUAUCAGCUAGUCUGGAAAGUACAAGGAAAGAAAGAAGGAACAAAAUGCCUUGGAACAAUUUCCCCUGGGCGUGAGUACAGGGGAUGUGAUGGAAGUUUUCAUCCUCUUCUCUCUCUGGGCCUGUUCUGGAGGCUAGAAAGUCCAAGAUCAAGCUGCUGGUGGAUUCAGUGAACCUGCUUCCUGGUUCAUGGACGGCUCUCUUCUCCCUGAGUCUUCACAGACAGUGCGGGCCAGGACACUCUCUGGACUUUCCUUUAUGAGGAUAUUAAUCUGUGAGGGUUCUGCCUUUAUGACCUAAUGACCUCCCCAAAGCCUCACUCCCAAAUACUAUCACCUUGGGGAUUAGGUUUCAACAUAUGUAUUUUGGGUGUGGGGGUGGGUGGAGGUGCGAGUUUUCUGUGGAAAUCAGGUAUUGGAGAAUCAUCCUAGAUUUUUCUCUCUCAUUCACUAAUUGUAUUCACUGUCCUAUGAAUCAUUGUGCC